CGGAGGGGUAAAAGUAAAGUGCUGGAGCAGGGAGGUGAAGAACAGAAAGAGCUCCAUUCGGGCCAAACUUUCCCCCAGACACGCUCUUCGCCCUGCAGAGAGAGAGAGAGAGAGAAAAAGAUCAACCAGUUGUUGCAUGGUUAACCAGAGCCUGUUUGACGGUCCUAUAACCUGCUAGGACCACCACCUUCUUUGGACCAAAGUAGAUUUGAAAGACUGGUCCAUACUUUUUCGACAGCUGAAGAAGUAAAGCAACAUGUGGUGAAACUCACGAAUCCCGCUGUAAUCAUUUUGCAUGUUUCAGGUUUGGUGCAAAAAAAUAUGACUUACAUCACAAAGACUUUUGUCCAAUCUCUUUAGGUCCAGCUGAAGGAGGUUACCAAGAAAAAGAAGCGGUCUGGGUCCUGGAGGCUCCACAUUUUCAAGGACUCUGAAUCUCCCGUGAAAAAAGGAGAAGACCAACAAACCCACGAUGAUCCAAAAAAGUGAAAGGGAGAGGAGAUCGUCAAGCAUUCUUAGAUUAAAGAAACAAACUCUUUUACAAGGCAGUUGUGCUUUCUUAAAGAAGUAUUCCCAAAGAA